UCCCGGCGGCGGAGGCCCCGGAGCGGGUGGUGAGCGCACAGCCCCCGCCGCCCCUGCUCGGGGCUCCGGCCCAUCGUUGUCCCCAGGGCCCCCGCCGGCCUUGGCUCCUAGGGGACGGGCGGGCCUUCCGAGGGAGCCGGCUCGGGACGUCCUGGCAAACAGGAAGCGAGACAAAGGCGGCCGAUUAUCAAGCCCCCACAUUCCUUUCAGGUGCUGGGACAACAGGAGGGAAGGAAGAGGUGAGGAGAGGCUGGCACCCUCUGAAGGGAGGAGGCCUCAGAGGUCAACACGGGCCUGAGAUUCUGCACGAGUGUCUAUGGGAAGACCCCUAGAUGAUCCCCUCCGGCCUGGAGGCUUUAAAUGUCAACUUCAAGUUCACGAGUCUCAAGUUUAUAUCUGCUGCCUGGAUCUCUCCCUAAACUCCAGAUUCAAGAAUCUUGCUGCUACUCAGCAUCAGCGCUGAGGGGUCUACCAACAGUGGAACCCCAACCCCCCCCCCUUGAGUUUCAGACUCACGUCCAGCUGGCCUCCUGACAUCUCUGAGUGUGCAAAAGGCAACUGAAACUGAAAAUAGCCAAACUGCCUCCCCGCAGACCUGCUCCUCCCCGCUCUUCAACUCAGAAAAUGGCACCUUCUCCACCCAGCUGUUCAAGCCAGAACUCCGAGUGGUCUGGGGUGCCCCGCCCCAACCAUCAGCAGGUCCUGGGACGCACAUCAUGGAAGGCUCUGAACCGGUCUGCCUCCCACCCCUGCACUGCCACCACCCUACUCUGGUCCCUCGUCACUUCUCACCUGGACCCUGGCGAUGGCUUCCUAACCGGGCUCUGGGCCUCUUCACCAUCCCCACGCACACCUACCGUCCAUUCCCUACCUACUCUGAAGGCAGAGACAUCCUUGAAGAACGUAAGACUGUGUGCUCACUGAGUGGCUCCCCACGGCUCUCAGCACAAAGUACAAAAUCCUCGGCACAGCUCAUGAGACCCGUGGGCGGGGCCUCUCUCCCCAUUUCGCAGCUCCAGCUGAGGUGAGCUCGGUCCCACCUCCCAGCCUGGGCCACUCGUCCCCUAGUCUAUCCAUCUCCCUGGUAUCAGCAUAAGUGUCUCUUCCUGAGUGGCCUUCCCUUGCCCCCACCCCCCUCUAAACUGAGACCCCCACUGUUCUCUGUUUUCUCCUAUCCCACCUCUAACAGGUUGUUAGACGAGUUUAUUUGUGUGUGUGUGGUCCUUCAUCAUUGGACUGGAAGCCCCAGUGCAAGGAUGGGGACUGUGUGGCGCGUUCUGGCUCCAUCUCCUUGGCCCAGCACAGGGCCUGGCACAUAGUAGGUCUUUAAUAAAUAGGUGUCAACCCAA